ensembl:lncRNA
CUGCCACUCCAGGGCCACACAGCAAGCCUGUCAGCCACAGAGCCAAACAGUCCUCAUGCGGCCAGAUUCCUGUUUCCCUGCUCCCUCCCUGGGCAGCUCUACCUCCUCUGAAUAGCAGUGCCUGGACCUGUGCCUGGCUCACAGUAGGGGCUCAAUAAAUACCAGAUGAAAGAGGAAUGAACCUCGACUAUGUUCUGUGGGCCUUCAUGCCAACAGCUGGGUCUUGGCUGGCUGGUGCCUUUGUGAGCCUCCUUACCUACCUCAGUGAUAAAGGUCAUUUCGAUAGGCUUUUGGUUGAGCUUGUCUGAGGAAAUCACAGAACAUCUCAUCUAGAAUGGCCUGUAUGCUGCAGAUGAAGAAACUCAAAUAUAUGGAGGUAAAAUGAUUUGUUCAAACUCCUUCUGCUGAGACAGAACCUCCACUGACUUACUACCUGCUAUGGACUGAAAUGUGUCCUCCCAAAAUGCAUACGCUGAAGCCCUAACCCCUCGUGUGACGGUCUUUGAAGCGGGGCCUUUGAAUGGGGCCCUCAUGUUCUCUGUCUUCUCUCUGUGUCUGUCUCUGACAGAGUGAGAAGAUGGCCAUUUGCAAACCAGGAGGAGAGGCUUCACCAGAAUCUGCCCAUGCUGGCACCCUGAUCUUGGACUUCCGGCGUCCAGAACUGUGAGAAAUUUCUGUUGUUCAAGCCCCCCAGUCCAUGGUAUUUUGUUACGACAGCCCAAGCUGACCAAGACAAUACCACACAAUGGCUUUUCUGAUACAACUUUGUCUCAGGGUUAAGCUAUAGCCAUAGCCACGCUGGUCACCCUGCCGCAGGUCCUGGACAGAAGAACCUUUGUGGAGAGGAUUUAGAAACUACAGAGAAAGCCGUGUCCUCACUACUGUGCCGUCAGUUCUGGAAACCGAGUGGAUACACAGUUUCUUGUUGGGCGUUCAGGUGAAGAGCAGGCAUUGUGAAGACUCUAAGCUGUCUUGGCAAAUGAGCCUUUCUAAGGGGUAGCUCUCCUAGUUAGAGGGCAUUUUGUUUCUGAAACAAUCUCGGUGGAUGUAUGAAUGGGAAUCGUAACAUCACUCCUCAUUCCACAUGUUGGGGAGAAUGUGUUUCUCUCUUCCUCCCCCUGCCACCAGGCAACUUAAGUUACUUCUGGGAAGAUUCUUAUGUCCUGCACAGAAAAUCUAGGGCAGGCAGAUGGAUGUUUGAUAGUCUGUAAGAAAAUAUAUUGGAGAAUCUUAAAUGGGACAGAAUUCUAGCAGUACCUUUUUUCAAAAAUCUCAUACAUUUCUUAAAUGCAAAUAUAUAGUUCAUUUCUCUUUGAAGGGUAAUUUAUAAAAAGUCUGGAAAAUAUAUGCUGUGAAAGGAGGAGCAUCUUAAAUCCUUCAGAUCAAUUUGGUCCUUAGAUCUUAGAAAUCACAUGAUUCAAACAAACUUUGCAUGACUCUGGUCACCCCCAAUUCGUCGUUGUACUUUCUUCCCAGCUUUGGGGAAGGCAUCUGCUCAAAUGCCCUGGUCUGGAGGGGUCAGGGCUUCUUUGCACAGCCUCAGAGUGAGGGUCCUGUGUGGCUAUCUGGCCCUUCUGCUAAGUGUUAAUAUUUGGCAGUUCUCGCUUAUAGAGCAAGGGCCUGAGGUUAAGCCGCUUGGCAGACCUGGAAAAGUUCUCUUGAACCUCGUGCCGCUGGUUCUGACCUGCACAUGAUAACCCCGUCCCGCCACAUUCUUCCACAGAGUCAGAAGUUCACAGAGGUCCCUGGGCUGGCUGAGAUCAGAGCAGGACACUCUAUGAAAGACUACCAAGAGUGAAUUCCCUCGAGGUGGUAUGUCUGGCGCAGAAGAAGUAGGACACUGGGACAAAUGAGGCUGUCUUUGGACAGAUAGCCCUGCAAUGGCUAUUUUCUCUGGUGUCUUCAGAUCUGGAGGAUCAUGCCCAGGGGUGACUUGAAAAUUUCCCUAUGGGACACCCAUCCAGCUAGAAGUAGAGGCCAGCCUGAAGACUUAUCUUUGAAGCUGCACUUUCAAUAGCACUUUAAGCUUGAGAAAAUGUUAAUCGUCCUUUUAAAGAGUUGGGGAAGAUGACUGUGAUGGGGAUUAAGAGGGUCUAAGCCCCAAAAGCCACCCCCUUGGCAUGGCACUGAAGCAUGAAGGACUAGAUGCAGUUUCUAUAUAAGAAACUGGGCAGCAGAUUUCUCUAAGAAUUCUGAGAAAUGCAUUCUUUGGCAAUUCAGACAAGUAUACUUCAUGUAUUUAAUUAAUCAGGACUGAGAAAUAUUUUCCAAUGGGAAAGUUCACAUGGUUUCCCCUGUAUCUCCCAGAAUAUAUAUGUCCAGAAAGCUCAAAUGACAUUGUCAUGUCUUCUUGGCGCCAAGCCAGUGAGUGGGAGCAGCAAGAAAAGUUUAUACCAACAGUCAUUACUCAAGUUUCCCACAUGGCUGAACCUAAUUAAUUAGGCCUAGCCAAACCUGCCCGCCACACCCGCGGCCCAGCCGCACAACCCCGGAGGGUUCAGACACGCCCCUUCGACAAACCCUCGCUUAUCGCGGCCUGUGUUCAGCGAGCCACCUCUGCAGAGGUGCUUCCUGACAGAACUUCCUCAGAACAGAGUGCUUCAUAAACUGGAGGUCAAAGGCCUUGGUUUUAUUCCUCAUUAAAGAAUAUCUCGCCAUUCUCUUGAUAGUCAUAGUGAUGGUGCUUGACACUCUUCAGACCACUUUACAAAUACUAAUAUCUACUCCACUUUGACCCAUAGUUGGCCCAGAACCAAGGAUAAUGUAAUUAUUUCUCUUCAGGCACAAAUCAAAGAACUGGAUAGUUUCUUCCAGCUCCAUUUGUUUUUCUUGACAUUGGUGUGAGCCUUGUUUUCUCUUCAAAGCCUGUAAAAUAUUCUCAGAAUGUGUUAGAAAUUCUUCUGAGUCCCCAACCCCUGCUUUCUUGGAGGGCUCUGGAAAGUUGUUCCAGAGCAAACUCACAGCCAUGGGUACCAAGGGUACCCUUAAACCCAGAGUUUCGUUCAACAUAUGCAUUGAGUGCUGAUUGGGCGCCAGGAACUGUUCAAAGUGUGGGGUGAACAGCACAGUCCAUCACACUUCCUGUUUUGUCCCAAGGCUCACCACCUUGUGGGGAGCGGGGUGGGGGACAGCAAACAAAAGACAAAGAAGCAAAGUAAUUUCUGAGAGACCAGUGAUAGUGAGACAACGCAAAGGAUGAUGGGCCGGAGAGCAACUGGGGAUGCACUUUGGAUGGCCAGGGAAGCUUUGCUGAGCGAGUGACAUUUGAGCUGAGACCUGAAUGAUAAUAUUAUACUAAUUGUGUCCUGUUCUUUUAGAUAUGCCUCUCUAUUUUUAAAGCAAUUCCACAAAGACAUAAACUCCAAUAGAGCAAAGAGAUUGAUUAGGAAAGCAUUGUCCUCUCAUACUUUUUUUUGAGUUGGAGGAGGUAUGCGAGGAAUGCUGGUAAAUUGGUUCAGUCCCUAAGGAGGUCAACAUUGCAAUAUCUGUCAGAACUUAAAAUGCACUGUCCUUCGACCCAACAACCCUGCUUGUAGGAAUUUAAUGGAUAGAAAUAAUGGCACAAAUGCAAGGUUAUACAUACACAUAUAUAUAUAAGGAUAUUCACCACGGGCUAGCUUGUAGUAGCGAAAGACUGCCAACAGCCCAAAAGUUCAUCUCUAGAGGACCGGCUAAGUGAAUUACGGAACAUCCAUAUGAGAGAACACUUUUCAGUCAAUAAGAAAAAUGAGGUUGAGCUCCAGGAGAAAUUAAGUGGAAAAAAGGAAGGUGUAAGAACUAUGUGUUCAAUAUGCUAUCACCUUUGAAAAUAUAUAUACAGUCCUAUGUUGCUUAAUGACAGGGAUAUGUUCUGAGAAAUGUGUCGUUAGGCGAUCGCAUUGUUGUGUGAACGUCGUAGAGUGUGCUUACACAAACCUAGAUGGUACAGCCUACCACACACCAAGGCUGUAUGGUACUAAUCUUACGCAGUCCAUCUUGACUGAAACGCCGUUAUGCAUAUAUUAUUAUAUAACGCCGUUAUGAGCGCAUGACUGGAUCCACAUACAUACUAUCUUUGGAAGGAUAGACAAGAAACUGAUAGCAGUUUUUGCCUCAGUAGGGGUUAGGAGAGAAUUAGGGAAACUCUGUAUAAUUCUUUUGUAAUGUUUGCAUUUUUUACGUUGUG